rnacentral:rRNA from 1 species
UGGUGGAGUGAUUUGUCUGGUUAAUUCCGUUAACGAACGAGACCUUAACCUGCUAAAUAGGUGCGCGAGCCGUUCGAGCUCGUAGUGCGUUCUUAGAGGGACAAACCACGGCUAGUGGUUGGAAGUUUGAGGCAAUAACA